AGGUAGGUAAAGGGUCUCUAGGCAGCUGCUUCGUGAAAACUGAUCCAUUGCGAGUUAAUGAUGUCACUAGCGACAGUGGCCAGAUAGCUAGCUUGGUAAAGCAUUUAGUGUUGUGAGCAUGGUGCUGCACUUACCACCUCAUUCGUUUCAUAUGAUGUGUAUGACUGCCAGGCCCAGUUAGUAAGUUAACAAAUAGAUGGGUUGGUUGUUUAGCAGAGACGUGGUCGGCUUAGAUUGGUCUUUUGUCUGAAUAAGCAGGUUUUUACCACUAGCCAAGCUUGUUCUGGGAGAGCGAGAUCGUUCUUUUUUUUUAUUAGACUGUUGACAACAUGUAAACUGUAUUUCAAUGUUUAUUGAAAACAUAAAUAAAAAUGUGCACUUGUCUCUCAAACAGAAAGGGUGUCCGUAACGCGCUUUGGUGAUUGCAUUUCACUUCCUUUGUUAUAAAAUACAUUUUACCAAGACAAAUAUGAUUCUUCAUAUUCUGAAUCGUUCAGUGGGUUCUUUCUCUAACAUAUCACUAACGCUAUAUCGAAGAAGUCGGAUAUCGUAACCUAAUACAUCCCAUAAUAAGCACCGAGCUCUGGGGACAGAACGAGAUUGAACUAGUUGAAACGAGUCCCCCUACUUCCUCGUUGCCAUCUGACCAUCCAGAAUCACCACACAGCCUUCGGGUCCCAUUGAAGAGCUCGCAUAGUUUCUGUGACGUUGUUAGCCAAGCCUUGUAUAAACUAGUAAACAUUAUCAGACCUAAAACACAAAUCAUCCUUCCUCAAGCACAGACUCUUCAGCUAGACGUAAAAUAUAGAAAGUAUGAUGCAGCUCUAUAGUUUUAGUUGGAACAAUUCUGAUGAAAAGGGUGGAUUAGACUGGAAAAGUACCCCCCCCCCCUAGUCAGAUUCUCCAGUGUUUCAUGCUGAUGGUUGUCAUGAAUGAGAGCUGAAUAGUGAGUGAAGCCUCCUUUAUGAACAGAGGCAGUGAGAGCUCAGACAGCCAACCCUGGGGAGGUUCCCAUAGCUCAGUCAUGUGGAUGCAGGCGGUGAGAGCUCAGACAGCCAACCCUGGGGAGGUUCCCAUAGCUCAGUCAUAUAGCUGUGGAUGCAGGGAGUGAGAGCUCAGACAGCCAACCCUGGGGAGGUUCCCAUAGCUCAGUCAUGUGGAUGCAGGCGGUGAGAGCUCAGACAGCCAACCCUGGGGAGGUUCCCAUAGCUCAGUCAUAUAGCUGUGGAUGCAGGGAGUGAGAGCUCAGACAGCCAACCCUGGGGAGGUUCCCAUAGCUCAGUCAUGUGGAUGCAGGGAGUGAGAGCUCGGACAGCCAACCCUGGGGAGGUUCCCAUAGCUCAGUCAUGUGGAUGCAGGUAUUGAGAGCUCGGACAGCCAACCCUGGGGAGGUUCCCAUAGCUCAGUCAUGUGGAUGCAGGUAGUGAGAGCUCAGACAGCCAACCCUGGGGAGGUUCCCAUAGCUCAGUCAUGUGGAUGCAGGUAGUGAGAGCUCAGACAGCCAACCCUGGGGAGGUUCCCAUAGCUCAGUCAUGUGGAUGCAGGUAGUGAGAGCUCAGACAGCCAACCCUGGGGAGGUUCCCAUAGCUCAGUCAUGUGGAUGCAGGCGGUGAGAGCUCAGACAGCCAACCCUGGGGAGGUUCCCAUAGCUCAGUCAUAUAGCUGUGGAUGCAGGGAGUGAGAGCUCAGACAGCCAACCCUGGCGAGGUUCCCAUAGCUCAGUCAUAUAGCUGUGGAUGCAGUGAGUGAGAGCUCAGACAGCCAACCCUGGGGAGGUUCCCAUAGCUCAGUCAUAUAGCUGUGGAUGCAGGGAGUGAGAGCUCAGACAGCCAACCCUGGGGAGGUUCCCAUAGCUCAGUCAUAUAGCUGUGGAUGCAGGGAGUGAGAGCUCAGACAGCCAACCCUGGGGAGGUUCCCAUAGCUCAGUCAUAUAGCUGUGGAUGCAGGGAGUGAGAGCUCAGACAGCCAACCCUGGGGAGGUUCCCAUAGCUCAGUCAUAUAGCUGUGGAUGCAGGGAGUGAGAGCUCAGACAGCCAACCCUGGGGAGGUUCCCAUAGCUCAGUCAUAUAGCUGUGGAUGCAGGGAGUGAGAGCUCAGACAGCCAACCCUGGGGAGGUUCCCAUAGCUCAGUCAUGUGGAUGCAGGCGGUGAGAGCUCAGGCAGCCAACCCUGGGGAGGUUCCCAUAGCUCAGUCAUGUGGAUGCAGGCGGUAGGAGUGCCUGGAAUACCAAUGCCACCGACAGGCUGCCAGACGAAUAACAUUAGCCUAAAUACAGCAGUACUAUAGACAAACACUUUCAACACAAAACUAAACAAGUCAAGAAUGACAUAUAGGAAUCAGAGAGAUGGAGAGAGAAAAAGGCCAUAACACCAACUCAUCUAGGACAUAGCCCAGAGAAGUCAUCAUAGCCCAGAGAUGUCAUCAUAGCCCAGAGAUGUCAUCAUAGCCCAGAGAUGUCAUCAUUACACCAUCUCAUCUAGGACAUAGCCCAGAGAUGUCAUCAUAGCCCAGAGAUGUCAUCAUAGCCCAGAAAUGUCAUCAUAGCCCAGAGAU